GACAGAGGUGCCAAGCGUUAGGCGGAAUCACUGGGCUUAAAGCGUGUGUAGGCGGAUUCCUAAGUACCUUGUGAAAUCCCACGGCUCAACCGUGGAACUGCUCGGUAUACUGGGUAUCUUGAGCCACUUAGGGGUGACCGGAACAAAUGGUGGAGCGGUGAAAUGCGUAGAUAUCAUUUGGAACGCCAAUGGUGAAAACAGCUCGCUGGGGAUGUACUGACGCUGAGACACGAAAGCCAGGGGAGCAAACGGG
rnacentral:rRNA from 1 species